rnacentral:sRNA from 1 species
UCUAACCAAACCCUCUUAUUUUUCUCUUUGCCGUUUGAUUUCUUUCUUUUUGCAGAUAAGAUUUAUUCUCCAUGAUGAUUUUCCUUCCAAGAAUUGUGUCUUCGGUACCGGUUGCGUCGCUCCUUGAUCUUCUUUUGAUAUAAGAUUUUGUUCGAUGAGCGGAUUAACGUAAUCGGAUCUAAGAUCUAAAGUUCUCCGGUUUGCAGAGGCUUAAAGGCGUUAUGCAGGCAAAGAUUGAGAUGGAGAAAGAUUAUAUCUAAAUAGGGAAGAGUUUCGGUCGAGGUUCGUGGUAAGAAUGAUGUUGGGAAAUAGCGAUGUGGGCUGAAGGGAGCUUUGUUUUGAAAGGAUGUGUAAGAUGUCAGGGCAAAAGUCUUACUAUUUAUUUAUGGAAGGGGGCUGAGUCCUGAUCUAUCUUUGUCAUCCCCGACCUUUGCCAUGACAGGUGCGCUUGCAUGGCAGGUCACCCGAACUUAAUAAAAAAUUCAAUUUUUUGGUGUUUUGAGGGGAGUUCGCACGGGGUUGCCCGGGUUCUCCCCUCUGCUGUGGUGUGGUGUGUCGUGCCUUUACUGUUUCUCCCCUCCCCCUCUCCCCUUUCGCUUUCCAUUAUUUACUCUGCCGUUAGUCCCCUCUGAUUUUCUUGCACCAUACGGGAUGGAUGCAUGAUCCACAUCAAUCAUCAUCAUCAACAUCGGAAUGACCUCCAAGCCAUUGAUCUCUACUGGCAAAUCGCAAGGCCAAGGUAUUCUUUACAUAUUUUAAACCAAAAUUCGCCUUGUCUAAAUUUGCUUUAAAAUUCAAGUUUUUGCUAGUUAUUAUGUAAGUAGAGUUAACCACUAAUUUUGACCAAGAUGGCACGAUCACCAUUAGGCUUUAACAUAUUUUAAGAUUUUCAUUAUCAUUUAAGAUUAUAGAAUAAAUUUAUAAUUGGUCAAAUAUUUAGCACUUAUCCUAAAAAGAGCCUUUAACAUGAUUUUGAUUUUGUCACCUAUUUUAUAAAACUUUUAAAUUAUUCUGAUUCAAUCUUUUUUUUCAAAAGUUAAGCAAUACUGUUAUAUUACAACUCUUAUAGUACUAAUUUUUAUCUUAAUUUUGAAAUCAAAAUUUUAUCUUUGAAAAAAUUAACUUAAAAAAAAUUAAUAACCAGUAUCUUCGGAAGCAAAUUGAAACUAUUUUGUUGAUAUAUUAGUUUAUUAAAUUCUCAUUAUAUUGUUAACAUUAAUCAAGUUGUGGUCUAUCAAUUAAAAUUGAACUAAAGAAAUUGGUUUUCAAUAAAAAGUAGGUGUACCAAAGUACUUGUGGUUAUCUGAUAUACCUGCAAUGAGAAGUUAAUCAGAACAUCUACAGUUGCCAUGGCAGAUAUAGAGCAAUAGAGCAAUAUUUUAUCUGUUAUUCGCAACAUUUUGCUCUCUUUACAAAGUAUUGGCCAUACUGUAUUGUUAGUUAGGACUGAUCAUAUUCCAUCUCAAAGCCAUCUCAGCCAACACGGUAAAGCUUUACAUCAUUCAAAGUUGCCAUGCCUCUCUAACAUUGGUUCAUUUACCAGAAUGUUUCAAUAUUGACUAUUCUAUUUUGAGGUUCAUUCCAUCUUGAGAUUGUUGUGCCUGCAAAAAUAUGGAUGCCCUUUAAUUGCGUAAGCUAUUUUCUAUUCUAUGAUGGUUGUUUAUAUAUAUUCAUAUUAUUUUUGAGGCCAAUUGCAUUUUUAGUAUCUUAGUGUCGAUUUGCUAGUGGUGCAUUAUCAAACUGUACAAUUAUAGGAGAAUGUCAUACAUAGGUUGAGGCAGCAUGUGUAUUUGGCUUGUAUUGCUCUCUUUGUAGCUCUUUAGGCCCUUGCAUGGGCUUCUGUUUACAUUGGGUUGAAGGUUGGAGUUCCUUCCCUGGCUAUUGAGGAUUUUGAUGAAAGACGUCCCAGUGGUGAGCAUGAUGUUGAAAUAUUAGUGGAUUUACUAUGUCAAGCAUGUUGGCAAAUGCAUCUCUGUUCUUUGAUAAACAUUUAAAGUCAAGGUGGAUGGAGUGGAGUGUUUGAGCUUGGUCAACUUUCCAGAUUUUAUAUCAGAAGGUAUAUGUAGACCUUGGAAGUGAAGGAACCAGCUUUGGAGUCUCAUGAUAAUAAAAAAUCCGUUGCAGCAGCAGGUCUAGUCUCUGAAGAUCUUUCCAUCACUUGCUAAUUGUUGAAGCAUUGAAGGCUUGUUAUUUGAACCCUUCUUGGUUUAUAUGGUGCAGCGGCUCUGCUUUACUGAGAUUAGUGUUGAAGAACUCCUGUUAUUUGUUGUCGGAGAUUGAUCAUAAGAGGUACAUGCCAACUGUGUAUCCAGUUCCUUUACAUAGUGAAAAUUUUCAGUGGACUACGGUCCCGUGGUUUUUCCCCUUAAUAUUGAAGGGGUUUUCCACGUAAAUUUUGGUGUCUUGUUUAUAUUUAUAUGUUGCGCAUUUGUGUUGGUGAUUGGUACCGUCUGCAAUUAUGUCAAAGUUGAAACACUUCUUUGGCAGUUUUGAUAUGCCUAUGGUAAGUGGCAGUCAAGGUGAUGAAAGUUAGUAUUUACUUUCCCUAUAAAUUUUUAUCUACUACUACAUUUUUCAUGUGUUUAAACAAUUUCUAUUACUCUCUAAGUUUAUUUUUAACUCUAUAGUUUGCUUGGUGUAGAGUUUGACUCUUGCAUUUGUAUGAUUUGUUAAAUUUUAUUUUUAACUGAAUAUUUGGCUCAAGCUUUAUGUUUUGAUCUGUUAAAUUUACUCUUUUUUUGUCACUUUGUUCCCUCAAAUAUCAGAAAAAGCCAUUACUGUUUUGUAUCUGGUCUCCAUUGUAUCAAGGUAUUUUUUGCAGGUUGGAAGGAUGGAUUGAUUUGAGCAGCCGAAAAUUUGUUUAGUGAAGCUGAAUCUCAUAUUUUAGUGUUUGAUAGUGAAGCUGAGUGCUACGGAAUCUCAAUUUUUCUGUGAAUAAUUUUCUGGCUCUAUUUGUAGAUUUGCAAUUAAAUUUGAUACUUGAUUUGACCAUUUAGGAAUGUGAAAUUAUAAAAAUUCAUAUGUUUUUUCAGCCGAUUUUUAUUUUGAAUUUUACCGUGUAGUGCUUGAUUUAACUGCCGUACUUCCUUUUUAUUUAAAUAUUUUUAAUAUGAACCAAAAUUAAAGAUGAAUUUCGAAGUUGUUUUAACAUUGUGUCAAAUAUUUUUCAAUUACGGGUUAUAGUAUUCAAUUUUGGAGGGUGAAAAUGAGGAUUGAAAAUAUAUUCAACGGACAAUUCUUUUAAAAAAAAUUUCUAUCUUCGGCUUUGAAAAUCUCUCAUAGGUCUUGGGUGGGAAAAAUGUCAUUAGAAAGUGGAUUUGUGUUCACCAUAUCGCCAAUGAAACUACAAUCUGGGAAUUAGAAAGAAUGCUGAGUUUUAUAGGUUGGGCAUGGACGCUGAACUCGUCUGAUCCUUGUGUUUGGAAAGAUCUGUAAGCUCAAAACGGCAGAGCGCUCAAUCCCGGAUAGGGGUUGGAGAGGUAAAAUCCCAUCUCAUUGUUCGGAAGUCAGCUCUAUACCGUUCUUGGUAGUCACCCAUCGGCCAUCGUCGAUUGAGAUCCACAUCCAGAGUUCUACCCUUCCGCCAUGGAUUGUUUUGGACUGGACUGUAAAUCUGAAUACUUGAGACUGCAGUAUAAAUGUAAACAAAUUGCAUUGUAAUAUUUGAUUACUGAGUAGAAACUUCAUGUUGGAAAAGUAGUUGGAAGGAUAAAUUUUGAACCCAAAUAUCUAGACUUACAAGGAAAAAUUCUGUAAAUAAGUUAUCAGGAAACAGAUUGAUAGUGUUGCAAUUAGACGAUAGACUGUCUGUCCUUUAUCAGCUUCAUCAUCCAGGCCAAGUGGACUAAUUAAUUUGAGUCAUCCCCAUUCCUGCAAAGGCCACCAUCUUCCAUCUGGGAAUUGUACAGAAACUUUUCUGGAGCUGAAAACCUUGCUUCGAAAACCCAAGCUUUUCUUCCUCUUUCGUUCACGCCUUGCAAGGCACUCGUGUAUCAGCUUCGUGGAACUGGACAUCCUCUCGUAGGUUGCGACUCUAGCACAAUUUAUUCUGAUCUGAGCAUCUCCAAAGCCUUUAUGGAAGAUCCCCUUCGGAGCCUGAAGUUUCUGCAGAGUUUCAUAGUUGGUGUCUUGUUGUGCCGAAUCCUAAAUCUCUAACUUGACCUCAGCACAUGGAGGUGUGGGUGUUCUUUCUUGGAAACCUUGGUUUUUGUUUAAAAAUGAUGAGUGAUCGUAGCAUUUGUCAAAUGAAUUAUUCAUUUUCUUUUCUUGUUUCGUAAGUCAUGUUUUUCAAAUGACUUGAAGAGGAUUUUAUUGGAACA